rnacentral:rRNA from 1 species
AGAAUCAACGCUGGCGGCGCGCCUAACACAUGCAAGUCGAACGAGAAAGUUGGAGCAAUCCAUGAGUACAGUGGCGUACGGGUGAGUAACACGUGGGUGAUCUACCUCUUAGUGGAGGAAUAACCCUGGGAAACCGGGGCUAAUACCGCAUAAGCCUGAGAAGGGAAGCAGCAAUGCGCUGAGAGAGGAGCCCGCGGCCGAUUAGCUAGUUGGUGAGGUAAAAGCCCACCAAGGCAGAGAUCGGUA